CUCAGCUUACCUACGGUGGUGAUGGGCUGGCGGAAGGGCACGAGGCCAAAGCUGUACUGGAAGACACCUCUGCCAUGGAAGAGCGGAAGGGAGAUGCCCAUGAUCUUCUGCAGCCAGUUCUGGAUCCAGCGCAGCCAGGAAGUGCAGGUACAAAGAAUGGAGCAGAGACUGAAGGAAAGGUCAUCCAGAGACUGCCCUACCUGGGGAUCCAUCCCAUUUGCAGACACCAAAUCCAGACACUAUUGCCGAUGUGAAGAAGCGCUUGCUGACAGGAGCCUGGUAUAGCUGUCCCCUGAGAGGCUGUGCCAGAGCCUGUCCAAUACAGAUUUGGAUGCAAGCAGCCAAUCACUGGACUAAGCAGAGGACCCCAAGGAGGAAUUAGGGGAAGAAGUGAAGGAGCUUAAGGGGUUUGCAACCCCAUAGGAAGAACAACAAUAUCAACCAACCAGACCCUCCAGAGCUCCCAGGGACUAAACCAUCAACCAAAGAGUACACAUGGAGGGACCCAUGGCUCCAGCUGCAUAUGUAGCAGAGGAUGGCCUUAGCUGGCACCAAUGAGAGGGGAGGCCCUUGGUCCUGUGGAGGCUCCAUGCAUAGGGGAAUGCUAGGGUGGUAAGGCAGAAGUAAGUGGGUAGAUGGGUGGGGGAGCUCCCUCAUAGAAGCUGGGGUGGGGAUGGGAUAGGGAAUUUGCAGAGGGGAAACCAGGAAGGGGGAUAACAUUUGAAAUGUAAAUAAAUGAAAUAACCAAAAUUAAUUAAUUAAUUAAUUAGGCAAAGGAUAUGAGGGCCACAUGGGGGCACCACCAUGCGGGCAUCACCCCAUUUUAACCUCACUCAAAAGACAAAAGAAAGUACGGGGAGGAAACAACAGAGACCCUGUCACAAAAUAGGGGGAAGGCAAGGACUGACUUGUUCUCUGAUCUCCACUGGUAGGCCAUGACAUGCACAGACACACAGGCAGGCGUACACACACACACACACACACACACACACACACACACACACACACACACACACACUGCUCUGCCUGGGUGGUAUCUA